rnacentral:rRNA from 1 species
GACGAACGCUGGCGGCGUGCCUAACACAUGCAAGUCGAGCGAAGUGAGUACUACGGUACGAACUUAGCGGCGGACGGGUGAGUAACGCGUGGACAAUCUACCCUGUAGACUGGGAUAGCACCUCGAAAGGGGUGCUAAUACCGGAUAAUGUCGAGAAGCGGCAUCGCUUUUCGAAGAAAGGAGAGAUUCCGCUAUAGGAGGAGUCCGCGUCCCAUUAGCUAGUUGGUGAGGGUAACGGCCCACCAAGGCGACGAUGGGUAGCCGGCCUGAGAGGGUGAACGGCCACACUGGAACUGAGACACGGUCCAGACUCCUACGGGAGGCAGCAGUGGGGAAUAUUGUGCAAUGGGGGAAACCCUGACACAGCAACGCCGCGUGAGCGAAGAAGGCCUUCGGGUUGUAAAGCUCAGUAGUAUGGGAAGAUAAUGACGGUACCAUACGAAAGCCCCGGCUAACUACGUGCCAGCCGCCGCCGUAAGAC